UACAGAGGUGGCAAGCGUUGUUCGGAAUUACUGGGCGUAAAGGGCGCGUAGGCGGCCUUCUAAGUCAGGGGUGAAAUCCUGGAGCUCAACUCCAGAACUGCCUUUGAUACUGAGGAUCUUGAGUUCGGGAGAGGUGAGUGGAACUGCGAGUGUAGAGGUGAAAUUCGUAGAUAUUCGCAAGAACACCAGUGGCGAAGGCGGCUCACUGGCCCGAUACUGACGCUGAGGCACGAAAGCGUGGGGAGCAACAGG
rnacentral:rRNA from 1 species